rnacentral:rRNA from 1 species
AGUGAACGCUGGCGGUAGGCCUAACACAUGCAAGUCGAACGGCAGCACAGUAAGAGCUUGCUCUUACGGGUGGCGGGUGGCGGACGGGUGAGGCAUACAUCGGAAUCUACUUUUUCGUGGGGGAUAACGUAGGGAAACUUACGCUAAUACCGCAUACGUCCUACGGGUGAAAGCAGUGGAUCUUCGGACCUUGCGCGUUUGAAUGAGCCGAUGUCGGAUUAGCUAGUUGGCGGGGUAAAGGCCCACCAAGGCGACGAUCCGUAGCUGGUCUGAGAGGAUGAUCAGCCACACUGGAACUGAGACACGGUCCAGACUCCUACGGGAGGCAGCAGUGGGGAAUAUUGGGCAAUGGGCGAAAGCCUGAUCCAGCCAUACCGCGUGAGUGAAGAAGGCCUUCGGGUUGUAAAGCCCUUUUGUUAGGAAAGAAAAGCAGCAGGUUAAUCCCCCGCUGUUCUGACGGUACCCAAAGAAUAAGCACCGGCUAACUUCGUG